rnacentral:rRNA from 1 species
CGUGGGGGAUAACGAGGCGAAAGCUUUGCUAAUACCGCAUACGAUCUACGGAUGAAAGCGGGGGAUCUUCGGACCUCGCGCGGACGGAGCGGCCGAUGGCAGAUUAGGUAGUUGGUGGGAUAAAAGCUUACCAAGCCGACGAUCUGUAGCUGGUCUGAGAGGAUGAUCAGCCACACUGGGACUGAGACACGGCCCAGACUCCUACGGGAGGCAGCAGUGGGGAAUUUUGGACAAUGGGCGAAAGCCUGAUCCAGCCAUGCCGCGUGCAGGAUGAAGGCCUUCGGGUUGUAAACUGCUUUUGUACGGAACGAAAAGCCUCUUUCUAAUAAAGAGGGGUCAUGACGGUACCGUAAGAAUAAGCACCGGCUAACUACGUGCCAGCAGCCGCGGUAAUACGUAGGGUGCAAGCGUUAAUCGGAAUUACUGGACGUAAAGCGUGCGCAGGCGGUUUUGUAAGACAGAGGUGAAAUCCCCGGGCUCAACCUGGGAACUGCCUUUGUGACUGCAAGGCUGGAGUGCGGCAUAGGGGGAUGGAAUUCCGCGUGUAGCAGUGAAAUGCAUAGAUAUGCGGAGGAACACCGAUGGCGAAGGCAAUCCCCUGGGCCUGCACUGACGCUCAUGCACAAAACGUGAGGAGCAACACGAUUAGAUCCCUGGUAGUCCACGCCCUAACGAUGUCAACGGUUGUUGGUCUUCCUGACUCAGUAUGAAACUAACGCCUGAAUUGACCGCCUGGGGAGUACGUCGCAGGUUGAAACCAAAGAAUUACGGUGACCGCACACCGGUGAAGAUGGGCUUAUUCCAUGCACGCGAAAACCUUACCCCCUUUGAGUGUGAGAAGUUCCAGAGUUGGUUCGUGCCCGAAGGGAACCGGACUCAGUGCUGCAGGCCGUCGUCGCCCCGGUCCUGGAUGUGGGGUUAGUCCACACCAGCCCAACCUUGCCUUUUUUUUUUGAAAGGCCCUCUAAGGGACUCCGGGAAAAACCGAUGAAAGGGGGGAGAAGUCAGUCCCCAUGCCCUU